UCCAUUCUUGGAAAUAAUUAACGUGACUUUCAAUUUUAGGCAGCAUUCACGUAUAGUUACGGAAAAGGCAUAUCAUUCUCCUCACCUUAAUUUAGAGGAAAUCUUCUAUACAAAUAAAGGUGGCAAGCAAUCGUGGAGAACAUCAUACGAGUUCCUUCACCGCUUCGAUCUUGUUAUUCCGUUUUAUCACAUUGUUAAUUCGGGCUUUCUUCAAAAAUGAAGUAAGGUGGAAGCGGAGUAUUUGUUGGCAUAUGAGUGUUUGUAGACUGGUGAAGCUCAAGACCUAAGUUAUGGUUAAAUUGACAAGCGACAAGGUGUACCGGGAGACAGGCUUGAUUCAUAGCUACAUUCUCAGAGACUACAUAGCAAAGCUCCAUUUCAUUCGGAGCCAUAGCUUUUGGGUACUUAUUCUUUUGCGUACAUAAUUAUGGGCAUAGCGGGGUCCUGUCCCGCUCAUGUGAUAUGUUAUACUCUCCCUAGAGGCUCAUAGUCAAGUGUAUAUGGUUAGGUAUGUCUGGCCUUGUCGGCCUAUAUUUUGUAUGUCAUUUUGAUAGCCUUGUCGGCUUAUAUACAUUGAUGUGGCAUAGACGCCAAUGGUGAUAU